rnacentral:lncRNA from 1 species
GGGCAACGGGGUGGUUCUAGUGCAGACUGUAGCUGCAGCUCCUCUCCACCUCUAGCCUGCUCAUUUCCAGCUCAGAAAUUCUACUAAUGGCGUUUUUUCUUCCUGAAAAAGGAAAUGAACAGGGCUCUGGCAAGGGGUGCCGCAGUGACUUGCAGCUGCAGGGGCUCCAGUAGCCUUUAGCAGUUCCAGCAACCGCAUCGGUGUCAGGCAGUGGCCAGCUCCAGCAGCAUCAGCAGCUUCCUGCACUGUCAGAUGCCAGACACUCCUGGGCUCUGAUAACAUCACCCCCUCCCUGGUAUUCCUCCUGCCUUUCAAGUGGUAGUGAUUUCCUGCAGAUACUUAUCUCUAGGUCCCUGCUGAUUCUCCAAAUAUGUGUCUAAUCUGUUUACUGAGUUCCAUAGCACUUGGAGCCAUCCAUGCAAAAAUCUGUAGAAGAGCAUUCCAGGAAGAGGGAAGAGCAAAUGCAAAGACGGGCGUGAGAGCUUGGUGCAUACAGCCAUGGGCCAAAUAAAGUUUCCUUGGAAUAGCCAUGCCUGUUCUUUCACAUGUCAUCUGUGGCUACUUUCACACUUGCAUGACCCUGAGAGUGACUGAUUGCCUUAAACUUUGUU